AGGAGCAGCCCCAAGUACCAGCACAGGUGGGGGUGACCUGCUGGAGCAUCUCUGCAGGAUGACCUGGGUGUGCCAUGGUCAGUGAGCUGUCCCAGAGCCAGCAGAGUGUCCUGGGGCCAAGAGGCCCUGGGGAGCACUGGAGCAGGUCAGAGAGUGACCCUGCCCUCAGGAGGCACACCUGAGUGCUGUGUCCAGCCCUGGGGCAGGGCCAGGGAAAGCAAGGAAGGGCCUGGAGCAUCUCCCUUGCAGAGAAAAGGCUGAGGGAGCAAGGGCUGUUCAGCCUCGAGAGGAGACACAGCUGAGAGGGGCCCUCAUCCCUGUCCCUGUCUGUCGCUGUCUGCAGGGAGAGCUCAGCCUCUGCUGCGGGGGGGCAGAAAUGGCACAAGAGCAACGGGCAGGAACAGAUGCACAGGAAGCUCUCUCUGAACAUGAGGAAGAACUUUGCUGAGCGGGUGACACAGUCCCUAGAGAGGGCGUGGCGUCUUCAUCCCUGGAGACAUUUAAAAAAACCCCAACAAAACACAGACGGAAUCCUGUUCCGUUUGCUCUGGGAUGGCCCUUCUGGACCACAGCAGGGCUCUUCCAGCCUGACUCCGUGCAUGAUUCUGGGACUCCGGGGCGGUGGCGCUUCCGGGCAGCGAGCUGCGGUUCCGGGGCAGAGCUGCGGUCCCGGGCACUGAGCGGCGGCGCCGGGGCUUGUGCCGCAGUUCCGGGGUUUGAACGGCGGUCCCGGGGCUCAGCGGCGGUCCCGGGCAGAGCGGCGGUCCCGGGCACUGAGCGGCGGUCCCAGGCACUGAGCGGCGGUCCCGGGCACUGAGCGCGGUCCCGGGCACUGAGCGGCGGUCCCGGGCACUGAGCGGCGGCGCCGGGGCUUGUGCCGCAGUUCCGGGGUUUGAACGGCGGUUCCGGGGCUCAGCGGCGGUCCCGGGCAGAGCGGCGGUCCCGGGCACUGAGCGGCGGUCCCGGCAGAGCCCGGCUCCGGCAGCCCCGGCUCCGGGGCCAUGGAGGAGCAGCAGCGGCGGGCGCUGCGGCGCGGGCGGGCCCGGCUGGUGGCGGCGCUGCGGGUGGAGCCGCUCUGGGACCCGCUGGAGCAGCGCGGGCUCUUCACCCGGCCAAUGCUGGAGGAGCUGCAGAGCGCUGGCAGCCGAGGAGAGCAAGCCCGGCAGCUGAUCAUUGACCUGGAGACUCGAGGGAAGCAGGCUUUCCCUGCCUUCCUCUCCAUCCUGCAGGACACCGGGCAGGGCGACCUUGCCCAGAUGCUGAUCCAGGAGUGCGAACCCCAUCCGGUGCCAGCGCAACUGCCCGAGCUGCGGCCCGUGGAGCUGGAGCUGCAGGAGGAGAAGCAGCGUAAAAGUGUGACCCCUCAUGAACGUUUGUCUAUCCCAGUCCAAGCUGAGAGUGAAAGACCUCGAAUGCCUCCUGUGCCAGCCCGGGGUUCAGCUGUUGACAAGAGGAGCCGUGACCAGGAUUAUGAGAUGAAAGCAGAUCCCUGCGGACACUGCCUGAUCCUCAAUAACGUCAAUUUCUCCAGAGACUCGGGUCUGUCCACCCGAGAAGGCUCUGACAUUGACUGUGAGAAGCUGGAGAGGCGCUUCAAGGCCUUGCGCUUCACCGUCCUGACCCGGAGGGAUCUGAAAGCUCAGGAAAUGGUGUUGGAGCUGCUGAAGCUGUCACGGCAGGACCACAGUGCUUUGGACUGCUGCAUUGUGGUCAUCCUUUCCCAUGGCUGUCAGACGAGCCAUAUUCAGUUUCCUGGAGGCGUUUACGGAACGGAUGGAAAACCCAUUCCCAUAGAAAAGAUUGUGAACUAUUUCAAUGGGUCCAAUUGCCCGAGUUUGAGAGGAAAACCCAAACUGUUCUUCAUCCAGGCCUGUGGUGGAGAACAAAGGGAUCAAGGCUUUGUAGUGGAUUGUGAUUCGCCUGAAGAGGAAGCUCCUGGGGGUUCCUUGGAAUCGGACGCGACCCCAUUUCGGGUUUCAUCGGAUAACGUGGAUGAGCCUGAUGCCAUUGCCAGUUUGCCCACACCUAGUGACAUCUUGGUUUCCUACUCAACUUUUCCAGGCUUUGUCUCUUGGAGGGAGAAGUUAAGUGGCUCAUGGUAUGUGGAAACGCUGGACAGUGUGCUGGAGCAAUACGCCCAUUUGGAAGACCUGCUCAGCAUGUUAGUGAGGGUGGCACGUGCUGUCUCUGCCAAGGGGAGGUACAAGCAGAUCCCGGGAUGUUUCAAUUUCCUCCGUAAAAAAUUCUUCUUCAUGUGCCACUGACACGUGGACUCUGAGCUCCCUGCCGAGCCCUGGAGAUUCUUCCUGUGCCUGAAUGAAAUCUGUGCCCACCAUGACUUGGUGUCAGUGCUCCCUGUGGAUUUUGUCUGCGUGUCCAGAUGUUUGUCUGGAGAAAUGUGAUCCGUGAGCGCUGGCUUUGCCAUGGAGUGGAGAUGAGAUGGAGAUUGUGCUGUGCCGAUGGGAAAUGUUGUGGAUGGAGCAGGAAGUCCAUUUACUGGAGAACAGAGCCAGAGGAGAGCACUUCUGGCUCAUGCUGACACAACCACACUUGACCUCAGAGUGUUUUUCUUUGCUGAUCAUGAUAUUUGUGUCCUGUGCUGUCCAGCACCUCCUGAAGGCUCCUCUGAAGUGGGAAGAGUAGGAACCUUCACUCAUGUCUGUGCUGCUCUGUCUGGUCAUUUACAAUGUGGCUGUGCCAGCCUAUGGUGCAUCCUGCUCCUUUUGAGGAGUCAGUUGGGAGUUACAGCAGGAGACUGAUGAGGAUUCAUUGAAACACCAGUGCUGAGGCCGGAGCCGAAGCUGACGAUGCCCUCGACCUCCCAGAUCCCAUCGUCGCGCUGGCAGUUCAGGGGGCCUCCAGAAUCGCCCUGUACGGAGAGACAGUGUGGGCCAUUGCUCCGGGGCACCCUGCUGGCACACCCCACAUCCAACACAGCACUGAUGUACACAGGUAGAAGAAUUAUAAAAGAAAGGCCUUAUGAAAUCAGGCCUCACUCUGCUAAAACUGCCAAAGCUGACCUGUCAUUUCUUCUACAUGCAGCUAACAAGUGAUUUGCAAGUUCCCAUGUGAAGCUAUUUUGGGAAUGAGAGGUUUGUUUAACCCAACGAUCUAUUCUGAGGGUGAAAAACAAAUGCACCUCUGUAAACAAUAAGAUUUGUCCCAUGAGAACCCACAAAGGAAAAAUGGAAACAUAUCUAGAGAGAGAAAAUUGGUAGACAUAUCCAAUAGCGCUUAGCCAGUGAACUGAGUUUCACUGUAUUGCUGACCAAUUAGGUUUAACACAGUGCCUUCUGAUA